UUCGCAAUGCCCGAAAGGGUGACGGAGCGACGCCGCGUGUGGGACGAAGCCCUUCGGGGUGUAAACCACUGUCAGGGGACAGAAAGUUCUGAUCGUCCCCAGAGGAAGGCACGGCUAACUCUGUGCCAGCAGCCGCGGUAAGACAGAGGUGCCAAGCGUUAGGCGGAAUCACUGGGCUUAAAGCGUGUGUAGGCGGGUGCCUAAGUACCUUGUGAAAUCCCAUGGCUCAACCGUGGAACUGCUGGGUAUACUGGGUGCCUUGGGUCAUCUAGGGGCUGCCGGAACAAAUGGUGGAGCGGUGAAAUGCGUUGAGAUCGGAAGGAACGCCCGUGGCGAAAGCGAGGUCCUGGACGUCUGCUGACGCUGAGACACGAAAGCCAGGGGAGCGAACGGGAUUAGAUACCCCGGUAGUCCUAGCCGUAAACGAUGGGCACUAAGUAGAGGGGUUUU
rnacentral:rRNA from 1 species